AGUGAACGCUGGCGGUAGGCCUAACACAUGCAAGUCGAACGGCAGCACAGUAAGAGCUUGCUCUUACGGGUGGCGAGUGGCGGACGGGUGAGGAAUACAUCGGAAUCUACUUUUUCGUGGGGGAUAACGUAGGGAAACUUACGCUAAUACCGCAUACGACCUACGGGUGAAAGCAGGGGAUCUUCGGACCUUGCGCGAUUGAAUGAGCCGAUGUCGGAUUAGCUAGUUGGCGGGGUAAAGGCCCACCAAGGCGACGAUCCGUAGCUGGUCUGAGAGGAUGAUCGGCCACACUGGAACUGAGACACGGUCCAGACUCCUACGGGAGGCAGCAGUGGGGAAUAUUGGACAAUGGGCGCAAGCCUGAUCCAGCCAUACCGCGUGGGUGAAGAAGGCCUUCGGGUUGUAAAGCCCUUUUGUUGGGAAAGAGAAGCAGCAGGUUAAUACGCCGCUGUUCUGACGGUACCCAAAGAAUAAGCACCGGCUAACUUCGUG
rnacentral:rRNA from 1 species